GAUGAACGCUGGCGGCGUGCCUAAUACAUGCAAGUCGAGCGAACAGACGAGGAGCUUGCUCCUCUGACGUUAGCGGCGGACGGGUGAGUAACACGUGGAUAACCUACCUAUAAGACUGGGAUAACUUCGGGAAACCGGAGCUAAUACCGGAUAAUAUAUUGAACCGCAUGGUUCAAUAGUGAAAGCCGGUUUUGCUGUCACUUAUAGAUGGAUCCGCGCCGCAUUAGCUAGUUGGUAAGGUAACGGCUUACCAAGGCAACGAUGCGUAGCCGACCUGAGAGGGUGAUCGGCCACACUGGAACUGGGACACGGUCCAGACUCCUACGGGAGGCAGCAGUAGGGAAUCUUCCGCAAUGGGCGAAAGCUUGACGUAGCAACGCCGCGUGAGUGAUGAAGGUCUUCGGAUCGUAAAACUCUGUUAUUAGGGAAGAACAAAUGUGUAAGUAACUAUGCACGUCUUGACGGUACCUAAUCAGAAAGCCACGGCUAACUACGUG
rnacentral:rRNA from 1 species